UACGUAGGGUGCAAGCGUUAAUCGGAAUUACUGGGCGUAAAGCGUGCGCAGGCGGUUAUGUAAGACAGAUGUGAAAUCCCAGGGCUUAACCUUGGAACUGCAUUUGUGACUGCAUAGCUAGAGUACGGUAGAGGGGGAUGGAAUUCCGCGUGUAGCAGUGAAAUGCGUAGAUAUGCGGAGGAACACCGAUGGCGAAGGCAAUCCCCUGGACCUGUACUGACGCUCAUGCACGAAAGCGUGGGGAGCAAACAGG
rnacentral:rRNA from 1 species